GUGUCAGCCGCCGCGGUAAUACGGAGGGUGCGAGCGUUGUUCGAAAUCAUUGGGCGUAAAGCGCGCGCAGGCGGCUCUUUAAGUCUACCUGUGAAAGGCCGGGGCUCAACCCCGUGCAUGCAGGAGAUACUGGAGGGCUGGAGAGGGGCAGAGGCCGGCGGAAUUCCGGGUGUAGCGGUGGAAUGCGUAGAUAUUGGGAAGAACACCUGUGGCGAAGGCGGCCGACUGGGCCGGAUCCGACGCUGAGGCGCGAAAGCGUGGGGAGCAAACAGGAUUAGAUACCCUGGUAGUCCACGCCGUAAACGAUGGGUGCUAGAUGCCGGGGGGAGCGACCCCUUCGGUGUCGCAGCUAACGCGUUAAGCACCCCGCCUGGGGAGUACGGCCGCAAGGCUGAA
rnacentral:rRNA from 1 species